rnacentral:rRNA from 1 species
UACAGAGGGGGCAAGCGUUGUUCGGAAUUACUGGGCGUAAAGGGCGCGUAGGCGGCCGCCUAAGUCAGACGUGAAAUCCCUCGGCUCAACCGGGGAACUGCGUCUGAUACUGGGUGGCUUGAAUCCGGGAGAGGGAUGCGGAAUUCCAGGUGUAGCGGUGAAAUGCGUAGAUAUCAGGAGGAACACCGGUGGCGAAGGCGGUUCUCUGGGCCUGUACUGACGCUGAGGAACGAAAGCGUGGGGAGCGAACAGG